CUCCUUUUUCCAUAAACCCCAAAAUUUUUGUAUCUUGUGUGUCAACAGUGAAAUAUGUGUGUGUUGUUGUUUUUUUUCAACACAGCCGAAGCAAGAUUGUUUUGUGUUGUUGACAGUGAAUUGCUGUUAUUAUAUUUACAAUCAAUUGCAAUAAUUGUGCAGGGUUUUGGGCAGCAUUGCCUGCAUCAUCAGUGAAAGGAAGAACACUCAUCACAGCAUCCGCACCAGUCUGGACUCCCAUGAUGAAGUGGAGCUGGAGGCAGCAAUAUUUGCUGCAUCGUGUUUCCCAGCUCAGUCCAGAACAUUUGCUGUUGGAAUUUGCAACAAGAUAGCAGAGAUGAUUCAAGGUCUUGCCACUCCAGUUGAGAUGAAGCUGAAACAGUAACUGAUCCCCAUCUCCCAGCACAUGCAUCAUGAUGCUCAGACAGCAGCCAAGGUGCGGCAGCUGUGUGUGGACAUGCUGCACUCAUACCCUGCCCGUGGGUUCGUCAUAGUCACCCUCCACACACUCUCACUGCUGUCUGCUAAGACUCUGAUUGACAUCCCACAGCAGGUUGAGCUGUUAUUACAUUAUCUACAACAAGAUCCACGUCGGACCAUUAAGCUGAAGGUGCUGAGUGACACUCGCGCAAUGCUCCAGAGCCGUAUCGCGCCAGUUUGUAAAAGAGUUCUAUAGAGAUCAUGUCGACAGUUUGAAGAAAACCGACCCUUCUGAGUGGCACAAACAAGUACGACGCCUGGCUAACCUCUCCAAACCCGCUUCCACUGUCCAUGUUCCAGGUGUGAACCAGUCAGACAUCUGUACCGUAGCCGGAGCUAUCAACGGGCACCUAGCCACAAUCUGCCAGGCUCUGCCUCCGCUUGACCGGGACAAACUCCCGGCAUUCUUACCGACUAGUCCGCCGCCCCAAAUCGAACCUUGGCAAAUGUACCACUGCCUGAAAAAGGUCAAAGUAAGAAAAGCCCCAGGUCCAGACGCUAUCCCGCCUACCCUAAUAAAAGAGUUUGCUUAUGAACUUGCUACGCCCCUUACCGAUAUCAUGAACGCAUCUCUUCAACAAGGCAGUGUACCACCUGAGUGGAGGGACGCGAUUGUCAUUCCCGUCCCGAAGGAACAGCCAGCAGACCUUGAUAAGAUCAGACCGGUGUCGCUGACGUCACAAUUUGCCAAGGUAGCGGAGGGCUUCGUACUCCCGUGGCUCCUUCGUGACAUUAUGCCGAGUGUUGACAUGAGGCAGUUCGGAAACAUCAAAGGCGUCUCCACAACUCACUGCUUGGUUGAAAUUCUUGACUUUCUCUUCAGAGGUGCAGAGAACAAGCAAUCUGUCAGUAACCUGGUUAUGACGGAUUUUA